rnacentral:rRNA from 2 species
UACAGAGGGUGCAAGCGUUAAUCGGAAUUACUGGGCGUAAAGCGUGCGUAGACGGUUAUGUAAGUCAGAUGUGAAAGCCCCGGGCUCAACCUGGGAAUUGCAUUUGAGACUGUGUAGCUAGGGUGCGGAAGAGGGAAGCGGAAUUUCCGGUGUAGCGGUGAAAUGCGUAGAUAUCGGAAGGAACACCAGUGGCGAAAGCGGCUUCCUGGUCCAGCACCGACGUUCAGGCACGAAAGCGUGGGGAGCAAACAGG